UACGAAGGGUGCAAGCGUUACUCGGAAUUACUGGGCGUAAAGGGCGCGUAGGCGGCUCGUUUAGUCGGGUGUGAAAUCCCGGGGCUCAACCCCGGAACUGCAUUCGAUACUGGCGGGCUAGAGACCGGAAGAGGUGGGUGGAAUACCCAGUGUAGAGGUGAAAUUCGUAGAUAUUGGGUGGAACACCGGUGGCGAAGGCGGCUCACUGGUCCGGUUCUGACGCUGAGGCGCGAAAGCGUGGGGAGCAAACAGG
rnacentral:rRNA from 1 species